GAUGAACGCUGGCGGCGUGCCUAAUACAUGCAAGUCGAGCGAACAGACGAGGAGCUUGCUCCUCUGACGUUAGCGGCGGACGGGUGAGUAACACGUGAAUAACCUACCUAUAAGACUCGGAUAACUUCGGGAAACCGGAGCUAAUACCGGAUAAUAUAUUGAACCGCAUGGUUCAAUAGUGAAAGACGGUUUUGCUGUCACUUAUAGAUGGAUCCGCGCCGCAUUAGCUAGUUGGUAAGGUAACGGCUUACCAAGGCAACGAUGCGUAGCCGACCUGAGAGGGUGAUCGGCCACACUGGAACUGAGACACGGUCCAGACUCCUACGGGAGGCAGCAGUAGGGAAUCUUCCGCAAUGGGCGAAAGCCUGACGGAGCAACGCCGCGUGAGUGAUGAAGGUCUUCGGAUCGUAAAACUCUGUUAUUAGGGAAGAACAAAUGUGUAAGUAACUAUGCACGUCUUGACGGUACCUAAUCAGAAAGCCACGGCUAACUACGUG
rnacentral:rRNA from 1 species